rnacentral:rRNA from 1 species
GGAUGAACGCUGGCGGCGUGCUUAACACAUGCAAGUCGAACGGAAAGGCCCUGCUUGCAGGGUACUCGAGUGGCGAACGGGUGAGUAACACGUGGGUGAUCUGCCCUGUACUUUGGGAUAAGCCUGGGAAACUGGGUCUAAUACCGAAUAUGACCACUUCUUGGAUGGGGUGGUGGAAAGCUUUUGCGGUAUGGGAUGAGCUCGCGGCCUAUCAGCUUGUUGGUGGGGUAAUGGCCUACCAAGGCGUCGACGGGUAGCCGGCCUGAGAGGGUGUACGGCCACAUUGGGACUGAGAUACGGCCCAGACUCCUACGGGAGGCAGCAGUGGGGAAUAUUGCACAAUGGGCGCAAGCCUGAUGCAGCGACGCCGCGUGGGGGAUGACGGCCUUCGGGUUGUAAACUCCUUUCGCAACCGACGAAGCUUUGGUGACGGUAGGUUGAGAAGAAGCACCGGCUAACUACGU